AGACCAGGAAGUUUAGCGCAAUGGAUUUACAUUAUGAUGAAUGACAAGGUUAGUUACAAAUGUCUACAUUCAAAUAAGACGUAAAGCAUGGACCCCCAAUGCAGAGCCCAGGAUGCCGUACGGUGCUAUAUAUGUGAAAGAUCCUUCCCCUCGAUGCAUUGUGAUGCUUGUAAUGUCUGCCUUUGCAAAAGCUGUGUUGGUGAACAUCUCUCAGAUUUGUCUAAAUCUCAUAAAGUGGUGCCAUUCGAACAGCGGAACGCAACACCUAACUAUCCUAGAUGUACAAAGCACACCACAAGGCAAUGUGAACUUCAUUGUGAACAAUGUGACAUUCCUAUUUGUGUGCAAUGUGCAUCUUCUAAAUGUCACCGAGGUCAUAAAUUUGUUGACAUGCUAAACAAUUUGAAAAGCAAACAAAAAGCCUUACAAAAAGAUUUGGACGAAUUAGAAAGAUCGUUAUAUCAUAAUUAUCAAACAUUUGCAUCAACCAUCCAAAUAAAGAUAACCGAUAUUCAAGAAACGGCAAAGAUAAUGGCAACAGAUAUCGAUGCUCAAGGGAAGGUCUGGCACAGAGAAAUAGACGUCAUAAUGAAACAUCUAAAAUCUGAAGUCAAGAAGAUUGAAUCCAAACAAAUGGUUGUCUUAAAUAAACAACAAGAAGAAACAAAUCAAAUCAUGGCUGAAAUAGAACAGACAAUUCUUGAUUUGAAGAAAGCAUUAGACUCAAAUGAUAUUAACUUUGUAUAUGCUUACAGAUCCAGGAAUAACGAAUUCAGAGAAAUGCCUCCUGACCACAGCCUGUCAUUACCAAGGUUCAUCCCUGAGAAUAUUGAUACAAAACAGCUUCAAGAACAAUUUGGUUCUCUGUCAAUGAUGCCUGAUUUAACCUACGAGAAUGAAUUCGCAAUGAAGACAAAAGUGUCUGAUGAUGAUUCGAUAUACGAGAAUGAUUCAACAGUAAAGACCACAGAUGCUGAAAACUCGCUUCUUGAUGAACCAAAGAUGGUUGUUGCCAGAAACACAGGUACUGGAACGUUGAAUACUGCAGUCUGCUUGAAUGAUGAAUUAAUCUGGACAACUGGUCAGAGCAGCAUAAUAAAGCUUUACAAUUUGCAAGGGGAAUUACUUUCUUCAGUUCACACCAUGUCAGGAAACUGGCCAUGGGAUAUUACAAUCACAAAGAGUGGAGAUCUCUUCUAUACUGACCCACAAAACAGAACUGUGAACAAAACAAAAAAUGAUCAGAUAUGGACUCUUCCAAUAGUAAAAGGUUGGGUACCACGAUCUAUUUGCAGUACUCUCACUGAUGAUGUCCUGGUGCUCUCAGUGCGACAUGAUGAUAAACAAACACAAGUUGUUCGUUACACCGGUUCUUCCAAAACGCAAACCAUUCAAUUUAAUGAGAAUGGUCAACCUCUCUAUUCACCCGGCUGCUACAAAAAAAUUAUUUGUGAGAAUAGGAACAUGGAUAUCUGUGUAUCUGACUAUGGGGCAGGUGCAGUAGUAGUGGUUAAUCAGACUGGUAUAUUGCGGUUUACAUACAGGGGUUACCAAUGUACAACAAAGGCAUCAUUUUUUCCAAGUGGCAUUGCAACAGAUGGCAAAGGUCGAAUUUUGACUGCAGACAGUAUCGAACAACGUAUCCACAUCUUAGAUCAAGAUGGACAGUUUCUUCGCUAUGUGGAACACAAAGAUUUACAUUUUCCUCGUGUUCUGUGCAUAAGCAAAGGUGGAACACUUUUUGUGACUGAGUGGGAAGCGCAAGUGUUUGAUGUGGUCGUGCAAGAAACUGAAGGUUCAAAAAGACUAAAUUUAGAGAACUGCGGACAGUACAAACUCUAUGUCACUAUGGCUUCAAUAGGUCUGGGGGAUUAUGACAAACGAGAAGUUAAAGUCAAGUGGCGGUUUGAAUACAUUCGCAGAUAUGGCUUCCACUCCAGGACUCUCUUCUCGUUAGAAGCAGGGAGGCGAUGUGAAACUGGGGAAGGAUUUUUCAAUUUUCUAGUGCAUCAAAACCAAGAACACUUGACGUCGGCCCUUGAUAAGGCAACAAGGGUCAACAAAGAAGAUGAGGCGUUCUCUGUCAAAUUCAAAUUUCUUUAAAACUAUUUGAAAACAAAUGUGACAAAUAGAAAACCAAGGUUUUUCAUUCAGUGCUGGGCUAAAGCUAUCAUAUAAUUAGGUGCCUAACCAGAUACCACCGCCAAUCAUUUUUGACUUUCUUUUUUUUAAAGAUUGUUUAAAUAGAUAAUUUCUUAUGUAGUAUUUAACUAUUGGAACCAAAAAAA
rnacentral:misc_RNA from 1 species